UUUCCCUCCAUCGCAUGGACUGCAUUCCUCUCCACAUACUAUGUGGAGCGGAUUCCUUCCUUUUCCCUCCCUUUCACAAACACAACACAUCCCACAGGACUCAGGCACACACACAAUAUAGGGUGCUGAUCACCAUCCAUUCCUUCCACUCGUGGCAGAUCCACACACGCGCACUGCCCAGAGGAGAUGCUCUCCCUGUCUCCACGGAGUUUUGCCAUGGGCUGCAAAGGCAGAAGAACAGAGCAGUUCAAGACACAGCUUGUCCACCAGGUCCUGGAGCCGGAGAAUACUUUUCUUAUCCUCUUCAGACUGUGGGAAGUGAAAUUCAAGUUAGCCUUGGAAGGUGGACCGAGGUGAUGCAUGUUAAGAAGGCAGAGAAUUUGAAAUACCUGUUUCUGAGGCCUGUUGUGGAGAAGACUGGGAUCUCCUGGCUGAGUUGUAAUUGCCAGUUCCAAGAUCAUCCCCAGUUGCCUCUUCAGCUCUUCAGUCUGCUGAGUGAAAGCAUGUUUGCCUCGAGUCAACUGAGAAAUCAAGCACUCCUUCUCUUCCAGUUGCCGGGGAAAACUCUACACCAGCUUUUUAGCUCCCUUCCACAUCUGCCCAGCUGAAGCCAUUUGAAGGAACUCAUGGAUACUCUUGUGACAGCAAUUCAGCAAGCUAAGGAUUUUAGAAUCUGGCUGAAGGUCCCAUGAUCCCAAGAUCCAUCAAGGAUCUACAGCAGUCCUCCUGUCUGGCUCAUCAAAAGCUCUCACCGAAAUCGGGAAACAAACUGCUUAACUGGUCUUAAGCAGCAAGGUAACCCCUGCACAUGGCCUGUGUGCGGGUGAUGAGCUGUGCCAGCUUCUCAUCCCUCAUCUCCUCCAGGAGUCCCAGCAGCCCAGCUUUGAAGAACACCUUGAGAAAGGGAAGGUUGCAGCGCAU